UGAGUAACCUGCCCUUGACUCUGGGAUAAGCCUGGGAAACCGGGUCUAAUACUGGAUACGACCUUCUGGCGCAUGCCAUGUUGGUGGAAAGCUUUUGCGGUUUUGGAUGGACUCGCGGCCUAUCAGCUUGUUGGUGAGGUAAUGGCUCACCAAGGCGACGACGGGUAGCCGGCCUGAGAGGGCGAUCGGCCACACUGGGACUGAGACACGGCCCAGACCUCCGUACGGGAGGNAG
rnacentral:rRNA from 1 species